UGGCGGACGGGUGAGUAAUGCAUCGGAACAUGUCCAUGUCGUGGGGGAUAGCCCGGCGAAAGCCGGAUUAAUACCGCAUACGCUCGAGAGAGGAAAGCCGGGGACCGCAAGGCCUGGCGCGAUUGGGUUGGCCGAUGUCCGAUUAGCUAGUUGGUGAGGUAAAGGCUUACCAAGGCGAUGAUCGGUAGCUGGUCUGAGAGGAUGAUCAGCCACACUGGGACUGAGACACGGCCCAGACUCCUACGGGAGGCAGCAGUGGGGAAUUUUGGACAAUGGGGGCAACCCUGAUCCAGCCAUUCCGCGUGAGUGAAGAAGGCCUUCGGGUUGUAAAGCUCUUUUGUCCGGAGCGAAACGGGUAGCCCUAAUACGGCUGCCUACUGACGGUACCGGAAGAAUAAGCACCGGCUAACUACGUGCCAGCAGCCGCGGUAAU
rnacentral:rRNA from 1 species